ACCUUUAUAAGUUCCAAUCUUCUUGGUAUCUUUCCCGUCAAGGGAUCAUUGAUAAGUUAAGGUACCCAACCUGAAAAAAAAAGGCUGGUAAGUCUUGGGAAGUCUCCAGAAAUAUGACAGAGGAGAUCGAGAAUAUUCACAAGGUAAAGGAUGGGACGCCUGAUAUUCAAGUGUUCUUCCCUUUGAAAACCACUUCAAGUAUCAGUUUCAUAUCGACUCAGUAUCUAACUUAAUCUCAGUUUCAGGGCACUCAGAUUCCCUAACAGGGGGGAAUUUUUCUGACAGCUAUUUUGAGAGAGGGCCAGUAUGUGAAGAGAGAGCGGCUACAUAUUUGUGAAGGAACGAUUCCAGCAAAGGGAAUUAUUCCGAAUACGGCGAAUCCAAGGAUGGCAUUGCUUUCUCCAUCCAAGAUGGAAGGUUUCCGGAUUAGUUGAUUGUCCCAAUAUCAAGGUUCCCAUGUUGUACAAUUCUGCCAGGUGGAAGGGACUUCCCCGGAAAGAUUAUUCUUACUGAGCAUUAAGAAUUUGAGGAAAUUUUGGGAACCUAUUGAGCAUGUAUAGUACAGCAGACGUGUUGACAUAUCAAGGAAAUACAAGUCGGACUAUCCUUCCAAACGUCGGGAAUUAUCCAGGAUAGAGAUUAUUAUAGAUGGCUGAUUUGUCAAUAGAACUGUAGAUUACCUAUGGACAAAAAAGGGAAAUGCUACCAUUUAGAGAGUUCAUAGAAAUAUCUAAGUCUGUCAAAUAGGGCAUUACUUCCCAAUGUCUAGAGGAAUGGGUCCAGAGGACAAGUUAGUCAUCAGAAUAAUGCACUCACAUUGGAAAAGACCCCCCCCCCAAAGUGGGAAGAGACCUCAAAGCGGUCCGAGCUUAGAUCGACUGUGGAGUGGUGUCGAACUCUAAUGAGUUCGGCACUGUCCCGCUAUAAGGUAUUGUAAGCUGAGCUACGUCUAGUUCAUUGAGCUGCAAAUCCAACUUCCAAACCAUAUGCGGGUGAUCUGAAAAUUACGGCAUUGUUGAGCAACCAGCAAGUUUUCAGGUCAUUUUGAUUUCGAAGCCAUGUAGGGAAUCUGGGCCCAACUUGGCAUGAUCUGGUAUUGAUGUACUGAGUUUAAAAAAGGGGAAGCCAAUGAGGCAUCGAUGUCAAAGAAUAAUGAAACAUUUGGUGAUCCUUUUUUCAUUGACAACCAUUAAGCUUGAUUAGAUUUUGCCCAAAAACCCCCCCCCACCAAAAUGAGCUUCAGUUAUGAACCUCACAUGGAUUAUCUGAGAGCUCCAGCACAUCCAAUGAUGACAGCUGCCAGAGACUUGGGGGAUGUGCUACCUCUCAUUCUGAUUUUGAGAGAUGUCCAAUUCCUCCAAAAUAUGAAAUUCUGAUGGAGUUUGGAAUCGACCUUUGAAUGCGUUAGACGGGAAUCGAAGAUGCCGCAAAUCCUAUAGGUCUCCCAAUGAAGUGGGCAGAUUGCUUGCCAGUUGGUUGUAUCCCAGGUCCAGCGUCUCCAACCUGCUAUUAGGGCAUCCAGCCAAACCAUGAUUGACCUGAUCACCAGUGAUUCGUUGACAUUUCGGUCUCAAAAAUCUGCAAUUGCAGAGCUUAAAAUGCUUCCGUAGCCCACCUUGGCGAUUGUUGGAGUUGAAAUCAAGUUGGACAAGGGCAUCAAGAUUAAAACAACCAGUUGGGUAUUGUGGAGUUGAAGCCGGUGUUGAGAGAUCGAGAUCAAGUACGAAAGGGAUGUAAAAUUACUUGUGGAAGAGCGAGCGGUGGGAGGUUGAAAUGCUGACAUUGGGCAAGUGCAAUUCUAACAGAGAAGGAUACAUAUAAUUGUCCCCCGAAGCCAAUAAGGAUGCAGCCUUGCUAAGGUCAACACCUCCAAAUUAAGGACGAGAGAAGAAAGACAGAUAUCCAUUUCAGAUUCAUCGGCACUGACACUCCAACGUUAGAGUUGAGACAAACAGAUCAAGGAAAAACGUGGAAAGGUUUCCGAGAUGGGAGGCCAUGUUCCCAAAAGAUGCACCACCAGAGAGAUUGAGAUAUUCAACUUCGUGAGGGAUGCCAGAAUUCGGGAUUCGGAUCCCUCCAAAGUUAGUUCAUGAUCAAAUCUGAGUAAGUCAAUACUUCAAGUUGAGCCAAAGUAGGAAUGAUCUCACUUCAAGUCCCCCAGCAAUUACAUUGCGGUCAUUAACUAUCAGGAAAUUGAUUUGCGAAGGUUAAGGUUGAUGACAUUUCCAGUUUGUUGUUGCAAUCUCACGCCUAGACCAAAAUUCACCAAACCCCCAGACACAUGUUAUACCCCACCCGACGAAGAGGUGGCCUAAAGGAUGUUAGAGUUUUCAAAAUAUCUGGUGUUAAUGUUUGGGUUUUGUAAAACUUCCUUGUUCCUUUAGGAUUCUCACUUUGGUAUGUGGGCUUUGUCCCACAUUGGCUCUAGAUUAUGGAAAAGUUACCUUCUUUAUAAAUGGAAAGAUUCUUAAAGUAUUAAAUAUUUUUGGAUCGCAAGGGG
rnacentral:lncRNA from 1 species